CGAAACGACUAGGAGGGUCGUUACAAGUAUGUAGCAAAGAAGAAAAGGGUUGAAGGUUUUUCAUUAUGAGGUUAAAUUAUCCUUGCGUCCACUAGAGGUUGAUCCCGCAUGUUGUUGGAUAGUGAAACUUCAAGAUUUCUUCCUCGCCACUGAGCCAACCACCUGCUUGGUUGUGGAUUCUGAUCAUAGAAAACAUAUUUGUCUUAAUAUAAUUUUCAACAAAAUUACAGGUUCUACUAUAGCAGGUGUGGGUUUCAAGAACCUCUAUUAGGGGUUAGGAUCCUCAAUGAAAUUUGCAAAACCGAAGUACGAUACCACAGAUUUUUAUCAAAGGCAGAAGCAGUAAAAAUGACUUAAGGGAACUGAGUUGCAGCUUUAAUGGUGUCAUUGGAAGACGCGACAAGGUCUUUUACCCUUUGUAUUAUGGGUAAUGAAGCAUUGCAGAAGGAAAGGAGAUGGUAACUGAGUUGGACGAGUCACAUGAAAAUGAAGGUUGAGUUGAUUCAGUGUAGAGGACUGCACCGAAAGGAAGAAGAUGAAGGUAACAAUGACUUUAUUUGUUAUUGGGUGUCCCAUUUUGCAUAUAUUUAAUUUAUGGUGUAUGAUUUGUAGAACA